UGGUUCUGGCAUCGAUGAAGAACGCAGCGAAAUGCGAUAAGUAAUGUGAAUUGCAGAAUUCAGUGAAUCAUCGAAUCUUUGAACGCACAUUGCGCCCGCCAGCAUUCUGGCGGGCAUGCCUGUUCGAGCGUCAUUUCAACCCUCGAGCCAGCGCUCUCCUCCCCCCGAGCUGGGGGGGGACCGCGCCGGCCCGGUGUUGGGGAUCGGCCCCCCCUCCCGUCCUGCGGGCAGGCGGGCCGGCCCCGAAAUCCAGUGGCGGUCACGCCUCGGGCUCCUUCUGCGUAGUAGCAAACACCUCGCACUGGGACCGGGCGCGGCCACGCCGUAAAUCAGAUGAAUCUUCUGAAGGUUGACCUCGGAUCAGGUAGGAAUACCCGCUGA
rnacentral:misc_RNA from 1 species